GCCUACGGGGGGCAGCAGUAGGGAAUUUUCGUCAAUGGGCGCAAGCCUGAACGAGCAAUGCCGCGUGAACGAGGAAGGUCUUCGGAUCGUAAAGUUCUGUUGUAGGGGAAAAAGAGCGGAGAGAGGAAAUGGUCUCCGAUUGAUAUUACCCUUCGAGGAAGUCACGGCUAACUACGUGCCAGCAGCCGCGGUAAUACGUAGGUGGCGAGCGUUAUCCGGAAUGAUUGGGCGUAAAGGGUGCGUAGGCGGCCUGCUAAGUCUGGAGUGAAAGGUACCGGCUCAACCGGUACAGGCUCUGGAAACUG
rnacentral:rRNA from 1 species